AUUUUCGCAUAAAUUGUAGUACAAUUUGUCAAAUUUUGCCAUAUUUGAGAAUUACCAGUGAAAUUUCCAAUGAAAACAUUUCGCAUAGAAAAGCCUGUUCUUGGAAAGGAUAUGGCACAUUGGAUCCGGGGAAACUAUGAAAAGCCUUAGCGAAUUUGUCUCUAAUUGGGUUUCCGUCAAUAUUAUAAUCCUACAAGAGAUGAAGAAUAUUUUGUAAAGUAGGCGAAGGUUUUAGACUUCACCAUUUUUCAAUAGGCACGCAAAUGCUUAGCAUUUGGGCAUUGUAGGAAAAAUAGCCGACCCCAAACUCAGCAAUACCCCGGAUUCAAGCAUAGAGAUCAAAAUUUUUGCGUUUAAAAUGUGCCAAUGCAAAGCGUGUGAAUAUUUGGAUACGUGCUGUUGUUCGACAUUGAAAUCAAAACAAAUUAUUUUUAUCAUCUGGACAUUUGCACAUUCCCUAUUCUCAUUCUUCCUAGCACAUUUGAUAGCCUGUGGGUUCCUUAAAGAGACGCGUAUGGUAAUCUGCGCAUAUUUUGUAGUAUCCAGCGUACAUUUACUAGGCGGAGUCCUGCUUGCAAUAGGCUAUCAUUUUAAGUUAGCCCACACGUAUCUAGCUGGCAUAGUUAUAAGUUCGAUAGGACCCUUCAGUCUACUGGGUUAUUUAUCAGGUUGUUAGCCAAGUUUUUUUUAUUAUUAUCGCCUGUCGAUAUCAUACCUUAGAGCUACAAAAAUAGGAUUCGCAACCAUUAAAUUCCAUAAUGAACCCGCUUAAAGCAAAUGGAGCACUUAUUCAUUAUUCGAAGUUGCCUGUGUGAUCUCUAGACAUCAUUUACAAUCUGUUAUCAAAUUAUCGGUCAAAAAAAAAUAAAAUCAAAUCAAAUCAAAAUACA